GCAAGUCGAGCGGUAGAGAGGUGCUUGCACCUCUUGAGAGCGGCGGACGGCUGAGUAAAGCCUAGGAAUCUGCCUGGUAGUGGGGGAUAACGCUCGGAAACGGACGCUAAUACCGCAUACGUCCUACGGGAGAAAGCAGGGGACCUUCGGGCCUUGCGCUAUCAGAUGAGCCUAGGUCGGAUUAGCUAGUUGGUGAGGUAAUGGCUCACCAAGGCGACGAUCCGUAACUGGUCUGAGAGGAUGAUCAGUCACACUGGAACUGAGACACGGUCCAGACUCCUACGGGAGGCAGCAGUGGGGAAUAUUGGACAAUGGGCGAAAGCCUGAUCCAGCCAUGCCGCGUGUGUGAAGAAGGUCUUCGGAUUGUAAAGCACUUUAAGUUGGGAGGAAGGGCAUUAACCUAAUACGUUAGUGUUUUGACGUUACCGACAGAAUAAGCACCGGCUAACUCUGUGCCAGCAGCCGCGGUAAUACAGAGGGUGCAAGCGUUAAUCGGAAUUACUGGGCGUAAAGCGCGCGUAGGUGGUUCGUUAAGUUGGAUGUGAAAUCCCCGGGCUCAACCUGGGAACUGCAUUCAAAACUGACUGACUAGAGUAUGGUAGAGGGUGGUGGAAUUUCCU
rnacentral:rRNA from 1 species